UCGGUACACAGAGCUUGAAGAUCGCUACCACAAAAUCCAACAGUCCUGGAUGCUAAAUACGACAAGAACUUUUGUGCUGGCUUUUGUUUCCAGCUCUUCACGUGCACCUACGGUUAUAAUUAUUAAGCUUAUUCUAUACUCCACAAGAGUACGAGGACCGAUACUGUUGAAGGUGUGACCAUCGUUCCACGCGUGCGAUACCAAAGAUAUCUUAAGCACGCAUUAUGAUCAAAAAAAGGAAGAAUAAAAUUCUCACUAAAAUUUAUCCAAGAUAUUAUAUGAAUUAGAUGUCUUUACGAUAUAAUUUCAUGUUUCUGUCAUUUCGUUGAUCGAGACUUUUUUUUCAUCGAAUGAAAAAAAAAAAUUAAAACACAUGAACGCACAGAUGUCCUCUAUACGUCAGAGAUAUCGUUUAUUCCACUUUUCCUUUCGCCGACAUCCUUUUCAACUGAAAGAUACUGCGUACUUAUAAAUUUUAUAAAUAAUCCUAGCUAUUACGAUAAAAAGGUCCAACAAAAAGAUUAUCCACACGUAAAUUAUGAAAUUGUAGUUUAUUUCACUACGGUGUAUGACAAUGAAGUGUACUUAUUUUGUAAAAUAAAUAAGGCAGUGUAUGCUCUUUCUUUC